rnacentral:rRNA from 1 species
GUAGGUGGCAAGCGUUGUCCGGGAAUUAUUGGGGCGUAAAGCGCGCGCAGGCGGUUCUUUAAGUCUGAUGUGAAAGCCCACGGGCUCAACCGUGGAGGGUCAUUGGAAACUGGAGAACUUGAGUACAGAAGAGGAAAGCGGAAUUCCACGUGUAGCGGUGAAAUGCGUAGAGAUGUGGAGGAACACCAGUGGCGAAGGCGGCUUUCUGGUCUGUAACUGACGCUGAGGCGCGAAAGCGUGGGGAGCAAACAGGAUUAGAUACCCUGGUAGUCCACGCCGUAAACGAUGAGUGCUAAGUGUAGGGGGUUUCCGCCCCUUAGUGCUGCAGCUAACGCAUUAAGCACUCCGCCUGGGGAGUACGGCCGCAAAGGCUGA